rnacentral:lncRNA from 1 species
UAUAUAUAUAUAUAGGACAAUAAUUUAGUACCAUCAUAUUUGCAAGCUCUUAUUUUUAGCUUGCACAUCAACACAUUUGCAAAAUCUUCUAAAACAUUUUAAAAUAUCAAAGUCACAUUAAGUAUAAUAAGAUAAAUAAUGAAACUUCAAGUUGAUUUCUAAUAACAUGUUUGAACAUAUGCAUCCAUUCAACUCUUGUGUUUGACUUCCAUAUUCUAAAGAUAUCCAUCGUGUGGAGCUUCUUUGAAAAUGUUCCAUGUCUCCAAACACUUCUAAACAUUUUCACAAAAUAUUAGUGUCACAAUAUAUGAGAAUAACUUAGAUAGAUUUAAAAAAAAAAUGACAUUGAUAUUCAUCCAAAUUUUCUUCUAGCAUUGACCAAAGAAAUGAAAACUAUAUUAAAUAGUUUAAUACUCCUACAUUUCAAGGAUAUCCAACCUGAAUUGAGUAAAUAUAUGAUCUAACAAUUUAUCUCUUUUGAUAGGAUUAAACGUAGUGAGAAGAUGAUUGAUGCAUAUAUUUAUCAACCUCACACUUUCAUGACUUCUAUCCAUCAAUAGUUCUAGAAAUUCUUAUUAAACAUAUUCGCAAAAUAUUUUUUCCAUAACAGUAAGAUUUAAGACACUUGCUCACACCCCUUUUUUUUCCUUUGAUCUUUCCACAUUUAAAUAUGGAUCAAUAAAAUCAUUUUAGUUGCUGAUCACCUUUUUGACUCAAAAGAAUGAAACCUCAUACUAAGCACCAAUUUUUCCAAUUCAUCCAUUAGCCUCUUUUCUUUUGACAUUUUUAUAAGUCACGUACAUAAGACUAAAUUUUCACGUGUCUGAAAAAUUUAUACAUACACAUCUUUUAUUACACAAAUUUUAGUACACAAUACAAAUACAUGUAUCAUAUCUUGAAAUUACAUUUCAAUUUUAAAAUAUAACAUUUAAAUAAGUAGCAUGAUCUUGAAUGCGCCGACACCCCGAAUCACAUUUUCUGUCACUACAAUUAAUCAAAUAAGGUCUUAAAAAGACAUCAUAAAAAUGACAUGCCAUUCAUAUAAAUAUUUUACAUUUGCCAAAAGUCCAGAACAUGAAAUAAAACUUCAAAUAUCCUUUCGUAUUAUAUAGAUUCUGCACACAUAAAUUGAUGUGAAGCAUUUGGUAAGGGACAGAUAUUAUACAAAUAUACCUGCACUCAUGAUAUGUAACUCUAGUACAGCUAACGAAUUACAAUCCUACAGCUAAUAUGACAUGAAUGUGUGGACCAAUAAAUUAUUUGCUCUAUUACACUCUAGUUCAGUUCAAACUUUUACCAUUAGUUAAAUAUACCCAUUUGCUUUCUUACACUAAAUAUACAAUCACUAGUCCGUCUGUCUACAAAAAAAAAAUGUGGUGUAAUAAUGCGUCUUCGGAAUGUGCUCAUGGUAUAUGAUUUUCCUCUAUCUAAUUCGUUUCUAUUGCUAUUACAUUUAUUUUCUGAUCUCAUAAGCUAGUUUCUCUUUCUUAUUUAUCAUCCUCUAUAUUUGUCCAUUAAAAUGAAAAAUAUGAUCGUUGUUCAUCACAUUAAGCCACUAUAUUUGACUUUCUAUCUCUUGUGUGAGGCUCGUAACGAUUAUAUUUUUCAUUCUCAUUUUUACAUUAAUGUGUACCAAAUGGGGCCUUAGUAGUGAAAAUCAAUUUGUUCCUUAUGAAAAUUCUUUUUUUAUUUCAGCUUGACUUUCUUCAAAAUCAAAUCCUACAAUACCCUUUUUCACUUGAUUAACAAAACCUAAUUCCAAUGGUUAUUAACAGAACUUAGCCACGCAAUAAAUAAUGGUCAAAAGCAUGCAUACAAAGUUUCAAGCAUCCAGAUAGCACAUUAAACAAGUAACCAAAUUUUGUAAUGGUCAUAUCCACAUUUAUGAAGUUCAUUAAUCAAUUACCCUCUUUGACAGAUCACACCUGUGACAAAAUUCGUACUCAAUAUGAACAUGUAUAGUAUACUUUGAUGAAUUAAGAUAAAAGGAAAACGAUAGAAUUAGUUUCCUAAGGAGAUAUUAUAAUUUUAUACCUCAAAGGUAACAAAUCAUCAAAACAUAAAGUCUAAAGUUUAAGAUAAAUAUCAAGUAAGAACUAUGUUAUAAUUCCUUUUUUCUUCUUUUACUAUUACUCAAAAGUGUAACAUCCAACCGUUAUGCCAUUAGGCAAGGAACUACAUGCAUGCUCAACUUCCAAUAAUUUCAAGUAUUAAGCGACUUUAUAUUUGGCUUAAUUUCUCAUUCACCAAAUUAAGAAUUUCACUUAAAUAAUUAUGUAAACCAAUUUUACAUACAAAAUUCCAACAAUCCCCCACAUGAAUGAAAAUUAAUGCAAAUGUCUAUGCAGACACUAGUAGAGAGUGUGUGGGAAAACAUUGCAUCAAAUAAGGUAGUUUCUGGCUUUGAACAUUCCUUAGUGAAAUACCAUUGAAUUUACUAACUAAUUGGUGAACGCGAUAUUCUUGAACCAUCAGCCGUUAGUAUAAAUCAAGACAACUGUACUCACACAAUGUCUCCCAUAAUGUGUCUCCCAUAAAUCGUUCAUGGUUCUCAUGACUUGGUUCAUUUUGGCUCUGAACCCAUCUUGGUUCUGUAAGUGUUUAGAGAAUUCAAGUCUUGAAUAACUCUCAUUGAAGCGACCCCGCUUCACACUUACAUAGGUGAUCUCCUAUUAAGAGUAUUAUGCCCUACUCCACUUGACUUAAUCAAGAUAUAUGAAUCAUUAAAAGUUUAUCUUAACCUCCAAUCACUCUGCAGAAAGCACUUUAGUAUCAUAGGAAUGAGUUAGGAAAUUAGUUUCCUAAGUGUUUCAUAGAAUCCCCGUAAUUUAGUUGUCCCUUUAUACCAAGAUCUUGGGAUCUCCAGUCAACAUGGUAGGGUUACCAUCAUAAGGACUCUUACUCGGUAGGCUUAAUCUCAUUCCCUUCGAUAUGCAGUAUACUUGAUCUCUUGGUAAACAUAUAUAAAUGGAUCCACAAGUUUACACCAAUGAGAUUAAUUGCUCAUGGUAUUAUGUCUACGACAUACAUGUCUAGACUUACCAUUAUAUAUGACUUAGUAUCUUUUCAAAUUUAGCUAGCCAAUGAUCGAUUCAUUUGAUAGAUACACAUUGUCGCCAACUAAGAAAUCCUCUCAUGAAACUACAUGCUUCUCAUGAGGAUUUCUAACAAACCAUUACACUAAUCAAUCAUAUUUACUAGUGGAUUUCAUACAUAGGUAUUAAAUAUCAUCAUUAAAGCAUGCAAUGCAUUCGAACUUUAUGAAUACUCUCAAAUAUUCCAAUUAUUCUUGUAUAUCCAAACAACCGUCAUGAUCGGCUUUCAUCCCAUUUAAUCCACUUUAGGGCUUUCAUCCCAUUUCAUCCACUUUAGACUUAGUGUAUAUCAUCGCAUCACAAUAUCCUUUUAAUAUCGUAGGAUAUCUUGUGAAAUGUAAUCCAUAGGUCAUGGUAUAUUUCAAAUACCUAAGGACCACUGUCAAUGCCACCCAAUAAUCAUGGCCUGGAUUACGCGUGAAUCUACAAGUUUAUUUACAGCAAAAGCAUUAUCCGAUCGAGUGCAUUUCGUAAUAUACAUUAGAUUGCUAAUUACUUGUGAAUAUAUCAAUUGUGACACGCUUUCACCCUUAUUUUGACCACGUGAAGAUUUGUGUCAAUACUUCAAACUUUUUAAAUAUUUUCUCAACAAAUGAUAUUGGAAAAGAACAAUUCCUUCUGAUGUUCUAGAGAUUUUUAUCUCUAGUAUUACAUCUGUCAUACCAAAGUCUUUCAUGUCGUAAUGCUUCGUAAGCAUUUUCUUGACGUUUAGCACCACUUCGUGACUAUUGCCCAUCAUCAACAUAUUGACUACAUACAAACACAUAGGCAUCUGGUGUAUUUUCCACGCAUACACACUUGUCACAUUCAUUUAUUUUGAACUCAUUUGACAACAUCGUUUUGUCAAACUUUUGGUGUCAGCAGCUUGUUUCAGUCCAUAAAAGGAUUCAACAAGUUUACAAAUUUUGUGGCUUUCACUUGGAGACACCUUUAGGUUGCUUUAUGUAUAUCUCUUCUUCUAACUCACCGUUUAGAAAUCCCUUUUUCACAUCCAUUUGGUGAAUCUCAAGGUUAUGUAUUGUCGCAGUUGCAAUUAGUAAUCUUAUCAAAGUAAUUCUGGUCACGAGUGAGUAGGUAAAGAAGUCAAAUCCAUCUUCCUGCCUAUAUCCUUUGGCAACCAAUCUAACCUUAUAUUUAUCAAUGGAUCAUCAGGUUUUAAUCCAUUUACACCAUAAAGGCCUAUUUCUGGGAAGUAUAUCUACCAAUUUCCAUGUAUGAAUUUGCAUUCUAGAAUCUAUCUUACUAUUGAUAGCUUCCUUCCAAUGCGGUACUUUCGGAAUAAACAUUGCUUUUUCAGAAGUCUUUGGGUCAUUUUCUAUCAUAUAUGUGAGAAAAUUCGGACCAAACGAAGUGGACAUUCUAGCCCUCUUACUACGCCUUGAUUUAUCCUCAUUUGAAGAUCCAUUUGUAGUUUCAUAUGUUCUGUUAUUCAAACUUACAUUUUCCUUAUAUUUGCAAGGAAACACAUUCUCAAAGAAUAUCACAUUCAUUGACUCAAUUAUGGUACCCCCGUAUACAUUCGAUUUGUGUACGAGGAAACGAUAUGCACUGCUAUUAUUGGCGUAUCCAAUAAAUAUGCAAUCAAUCAUUUUGGGACCAAUCUUUAUUUGUUUGGGCUUAAGAACCUCAAUCUUUGCCAAACACCCCCACAUUUUUAAGUGAUGGUAGGAAGGAAGAUGAUAUUUCCAUAACUCAUAUGGUGUCUCUUCCAUUUUUUUGAGAGGUAAAAAAAAGUGUAACUUUAAAUUAAGUUACCCCCACAAUUCUUAAAUUAGGGAUAUGUGUGCAAGUAGUAGUAUUGUACCCACACGUCUUGAACUUUUCACAUAAGUUCACCAAGAUUUAUGAUAACCUCCACAUUUUUUGUUUAUUCUUGAACUUAGAGUUUAUCGACUCUUUCAUAGUUCAAUCUAUUUAUCCAUAUCGGAUGCUCUAGUGGUUGUCAACUUACACAAAUGGUAAGCAUUUUCCAUUCAAAAUUGUACUUCAAUCAACUUAUUAAUUUGACAAUCCUAAUUAAAUCAAGGUCAUCACAUAGACCAAUAACGCUUUCAAAACAUAUACCAAUUUAAUUAGUUCUACGAUUGAAACAUCUUCAGACGUGCAACUUUCACAUUUGUGACAUUUUACAAAUAAUAUUAUUCACGUCCAAUAAUAAAACAUAUUCUCACCUUAUUCUCUAUAUUCACAUUUGAAAGAAUAAAUUAACCAUAGAUUGACAAGUUGUGCUUUCAAAGUCACAACCUUACAAAAGGACAUACCUCUUGGAAUUAAUCCUAAAAUAUUUCAUAAUAUUUUUCACAAUUUUUUGCAUCGUUUUUAUCUUUUACAAAUGAAUGUCAUUUUACAAUCAUUAUUUUCAAGGAUAUCCGGCACCACUGUCAACUAUAGACACUAUUUGUGCUCUAUAAAAUAUUUUCAUAUCCCAAUAAUUAGGCAAACAAUUUUCAGUUUAAAAUAAUUAGAACAAAACCACAUUCUGUCAUACUCUUAUGCAACUAUGAUUUUGCAUAAAUCAUCUCAUUUAAUUUCAUAGAAUUAAUUAAGACUAUCAUCAUUAAUCAAGGUUUGUAUAAUUUUCAAACCAAAAUCCACGGACAUAUAUCGAAUUUACAACUUCAUACCGUAUAUGUCACUUACCGAAUUGACGCAUACCGUAUAUGCAACUUAUCGUGUAUGUUGCUUACCAUAUAUGCGACUUACUGCAUUCAGCAGCUUACCGUAUUUGGCAGCUCACCAACUUAUCGUAUUUGAUAGCUACCGUAUAUGGCAGUUUACCGUAUUUGACAGCUUGUCAGCUUAUAGUAUAUGUCAUUUCACAUUAUUUCAUGCACAAUCUUAUGAAAUAAUAUUUUUAUGCAGAAUUUAAUCAUGCAUUUAAAUCCCAUGAAAUUUUAGGUGUUAUCAGUAAAUAGAAAUUUCAAACAAUUCAUACUAGAAUGAAAAGUCACCAAAUUCAUGCCCUUUCAUAGCCAUGGAUCGAAGCAAAACGAUUUUAUUCUUUACAUUCCGCUAACUCCCGUAAUUUACCAAAAUGAAAGGGUGUGCACUUUCAUUCAAAACUAUAACUAACCUUAACUGUCAAUUAAUUCAAACAGUUAAAGAUAUACUCAAUGAUCCAUGCAAUUUUUUUUCCAUAUUCCAUUACAAGAAAUUAUGAUCAGAUCUGAUUCAAUAUUUCCUGCCAAAGAAACACACCUCUUCCUCUCAUUCAUGUGCACCAUUCAACAUAAACCAAUUCUUUAUUAGGCAGACAGCUUUUCACUGAUUAUCAUCAAUUUACCACAUAAGGGAUUCAUUAUCUACGCAAUACUCAAUCCCGAUUUUCAACAAAAUAUUGGAUGCAUGUUAUGGUUUUAGGAUGUAAAACAUCAGUUUGUGCCUAUCUCAUCAUGGAAGAAGGAAGAGUUCUUUUAAUUUUAUUGACAGUUAAGGUAGUCCCAAUAACAUGUCACGUUUAUGCAAUUUAUUCUGAUUUCAAAUAAACAGAAUAUAUAAGGCAGUGUACUAUCGGAACACAUGAAUAGAUUUUAUAACUGAAUUCUAGCCUUUUCUCAUGCAAUAAUAGAGAAAUAAAGAAUAUCAUAUUUGUAUGGUGCACAUACACAGUUAAUUGGAAUGACAUUAAUUGAGAGCCCAACCUUUCAAAGAACAUAAAAGUGACUAUCAAUGAAUUGGAAAGGCACAGAAUGAACCAAAUGCCGUUAUUAUUUUCUGCCUUAAAUUUUGAUGGGUCACCUUUUCAAAUUACUGCAACGUAUGCAUUUAAUUGUAUAUUCUUGGCCACCAUAAUUGUAUUUUAAUGGAAUUGCCGCAUGCACUUGUUCAAUAACCAAUAGGAUCAAUUCAUGCCUUUGUUCCAAUUUCCAUUAACCAAUGUUAAUUGUAACAAUUAUGCACAAACAUGGAUUCUGACUCUCCACUUAAAUGCCAAUUCUCAUAGAAGCAUAAUAACAAUUUACACGUGCAUAUUGACACACCGUUUCCACUUCAAAUGAACUAUUUCCAUGCAAAACAAUUUGCAGAAAAUGCACAUGAUAUAUUUGUCGAAAUUUAGAAUAUAAAUGCACCAUAAAACCACUUAAAAUUCAUCUUAAGAUUGUUGAAAAAUUACACCGAUAAUUAUGCAUAUUAUAUUCACAAUAAACAUAUCGUUUAUUUGCAUGAAAUUGAAACGUAUUCCAACUUACUGAAAUUGGAUUAAGAAGACAAAAUAAGAAUUUAUCGAAUCCGAAUACCUGAAUAUGGAUUCUUCCCUUUCAACUCAUGAUCGAAAGCAAGUAAUUCUUUGGAUCAAACGGAUUUUUGGCCGAGGCAAGUGUUGGACACUUUGUCUUUAAGAUGAAUUUCCCCCGCAUCGGUGCUAAUGGUUAUCCGGCAAUCAUCUCCCAAGAUGCAACGACCACGUCGAGUCAUAGGAGCACUCCAAAUGACUUCGAUCAGCGAACUCGAACGGAAUUCCCUCUCUACCAUGACCAUGACUUUGAUGCAAAUGUUUUAUGCAAAACCAAAUUGUAAAUUGAAAUGAAAUGAUAUGGUAUCUAUGACUUUUCU